CACUACUUGAUGAUGGGUAAAAUCAAACAUGGACGUUCCUACGCAAGUCGAAGGAGAUGACCUGUUCAAAGAGUGGUUCUAUCAGAAGGCGAAACUCAAUUGCUAUUCUUAUGUGCAAGCGAAAAACGUAAUGGACAAGAGAUUAGCUUUGUUUGCAAUAAAAGAGGCAGAUCCUCAAAGAUAUACUAGUUUGAGCAAAACUCUCAAAGCAGCUAUUACACGUGGAUAGGAGUUGUGUAGGCCUGUCACCACAUUGUUAUCAC